rnacentral:rRNA from 1 species
AUUGAACGCUGGCGGCAGGCCUAACACAUGCAAGUCGAACGGUAACAGGAAACAGCUUGCUGUUUCGCUGACGAGUGGCGGACGGGUGAGUAAUGUCUGGGAAACUGCCUGAUGGAGGGGGAUAACUACUGGAAACGGUAGCUAAUACCGCAUAACGUCGCAAGACCAAAGAGGGGGACCCUCGGGCCUCUUGCCAUCGGAUGUGCCCAGAUGGGAUUAGCUUGUUGGUGGGGUAACGGCUCACCAAGGCGACGAUCCCUAGCUGGUCUGAGAGGAUGACCAGCCACACUGGAACUGAGACACGGUCCAGACUCCUACGGGAGGCAGCAGUGGGGAAUAUUGCACAAUGGACGCAAGCCUGAUGCAGCCAUGCCGCGUGUAUGAAGAAGGCCUUCGGGUUGUAAAGUACUUUCAGCGGGGAGGAAGGGAGUAAAGUUAAUACCUUUGCUCUUUGACGUUACCCGCAGAAGAAGCACCGGCUAACUCCGUG